GACGAACGCUGGCGGCGUGCUUAACACAUGCAAGUCGAACGGAAAGGCCCUGCUUUUGUGGGGUGCUCGAGUGGCGAACGGGUGAGUAACACGUGAGUAACCUGCCCUUGACUUUGGUAUAACUUCAGGAAACUGGGGCUACUACCGGAUAGGAGCUCCUGCUGCAUGGUGGGGGUUGGAACGUUUCGGCGGUUGGGGAUGGACUCGCGGCUUAUCAGCUUGUUGGUGGGGUAGUGGCUUACCAAGGCUUUGACGGGUAGCCGGCCUGGGAGGGUGACCGGGCACAUGGGGCCUGAGAUACGGCCCAGACGCGUACGGGAGGCAGUAGGGGGGAAUAUUGCACAAUGGGCGGAAGCCUGAUGCAGAAACGCCGCGUGCGGGAUGACGGCCUUCGGGGUGUAAACCGCUGUCGCCUGUGACGAAGCGGGAGUGACGGUAAUGGGUAAAGAAGCACCGGCUAACUACGUG
rnacentral:rRNA from 1 species